GUGCUCGCUUCGGCAGCACAUAUACUAAAAUUGGAACGAUACAGAGAAGAUUAGCAUGGCCCCUGUGCAAGGAUGACAUGCAAAUUUGUGAAGCGUUCCAUAUUUAA
rnacentral:snRNA from 1 species